rnacentral:lncRNA from 1 species
GAAGAUUCUCUCUCUCUCUCUCUCUCUCUCUCUCUAACUGUGAUUUUCAAAUAAAUAAAUAAAUACAUUUUAAAAGGUGGGAAAAGAGAGCAAUAAAUUAGGAAACAUUGAUUUAUUCAUGAAUGUAAAUGCAAGCAUUUGAAGAAAAUAACAGCAAACUAAAUCCUCCAUUUUAUUAAAGAGCUUCAGUUAAUCCAGGAUGGAAAGAAUUGUUUAACAUAUUGAAAUCUGUCAACAUUCCUUGCCGUGUAACACAGAUUAAAGAGACCCAGAGAAACUAAGAGACCCAGAGAAAUUAAGGCAUGCACCCUAAGAAUUGCAUCCAUUAAUUGGCUGACUUGGGGCAUAUAUGAGAAAGAUUUAAGUCUAAUGAUCUCAUAAAAUAAGGAAGUGAAAAUCGCCUAAGAUGUAUCAUGUACAAGACAGUGGCUGACAUCUGGACAAUGAUUUACUUACAUUAGAAAAAAAGUGUUCCUGUAACUAUUCUACAUGAUGACCCAUUCCUCUCAACUCCUUAUUCCCCACCAAACCACUGAGUCCCUAGAAUCAGGCAUGCAGAAAAAUAAAGAAAAAUAAAAAAAAAAAAAAAGUUUUCUACUGAUGGACUAGAUUCUGAAUAACCUAAAUGCUGGGCAUUUGGGAAGGGCAGGGCAGGAAGGGACAGCAGAAAUUGGGAAGCUAUUGUCAAGUGAAAGGUACAUAGUCCAAGGACGUUUAGCAGUUAUUCCCAGAAUCAUGCAGGCGCUGAACAUAUGGGCCAUUCCAAUAAUGUGAGCUCUACAUUGUACCUCCAGACCCCAGUCAUGAAAUCACAGUGAGUUCUGAACGUUGAUUUCAGACGUUUUACCUUUUUAACGGCCUUGUAUUUAAAUAAUAGAAUCAGUUUUUAGUGCCGUUUCACAUCUCUGAGUAUUUUCUCUAGGCCCCUAUGCUAAUUCCUGGAUUCUCUCCAUGCAGAGUUGGAGUCAUAAUCAGAUUUGGCUGGUCGACACCAAGGCAACUGGCUGCGUGUUUUCUUUCCAGUAUAUCACGGGACGCCAGCACACAGCUUAUGAAAGAGUCAGAAAAAGGAGGACUUCCGGAGUUAAGGUUACACGAGUGAAUUUUUAAUCACCUAACAUAAUCAAUCAGAGACUCUCACCUCUAUAAUCAACACAGCUUUAGGCAAUUAUAACAAGCUGAUUAUUCAACCUCAAGAAGUUUGGAAAAAAAUGAAGUAGAUUGAUGGCGAAGAUCAUUUAAGUUAGGUGUAAUUAUACCUGUUAAUAACAGCUGAUACCCUGAUGACCCUAUAAUGAGAGAACUAAAAUAAACAGCAGUAAUCCAUGGUACA